rnacentral:rRNA from 1 species
GUUACAGGCUUAACACAUGCAAGUCGAGGGGCAGCAUGGUCUUAGCUUGCUAAGGCCGAUGGCGACCGGCGCACGGGUGAGUAACACGUAUCCAACCUGCCGUCUACUCUUGGACAGCCUUCUGAAAGGAAGAUUAAUACAAGAUGGCAUCAUGAGUCCGCAUGUUCACAUGAUUAAAGGUAUUCCGGUAGACGAUGGGGAUGCGUUCCAUUAGAUAGUAGGCGGGGUAACGGCCCACCUAGUCUUCGAUGGAUAGGGGUUCUGAGAGGAAGGUCCCCCACAUUGGAACUGAGACACGGUCCAAACUCCUACGGGAGGCAGCAGUGAGGAAUAUUGGUCAAUGGGCGAGAGCCUGAACCAGCCAAGUAGCGUGAAGGAUGACUGCCCUAUGGGUUGUAAACUUCUUUUAUAAAGGAAUAAAGUCGGGUAUGGAUACCCGUUUGCAUGUACUUUAUGAAUAAGGAUCGGCUAACUCCGUGCCAGCAGCCGCGGUAAUACGGAGGAUCCGAGCGUUAUCCGGAUUUAUUGGGUUUAAAGGGAGCGUAGAUGGAUGUUUAAGUCAGUUGUGAAAGUUUGCGGCUCAACCGUAAAAUUGCAGUUGAUACUGGAUAUCUUGAGUGCAGUUGAGGUAGGCGGAAUUCGUGGUGUAGCGGUGAAAUGCUUAGAUAUCACGAAGAACUCCGAUUGCGAAGGCAGCCUGCUAAGCUGCAACUGACAUUGAGGCUCGAAAGUGUGGGUAUCAAACAGGAUUAGAUACCCUGGUAGUCCACACGGUAAACGAUGAAUACUCGCUGUUUGCGAUAUACAGCAAGCGGCCAAGCGAAAGCGUUAAGUAUUCCACCUGGGGAGUACGCCGGCAACGGUGAAACUCAAAGGAAUUGACGGGGGCCCGCACAAGCGGAGGAACAUGUGGUUUAAUUCGAUGAUACGCGAGGAACCUUACCCGGGCUUAAAUUGCAGAUGAAUUACGGUGAAAGCCGUAAGCCGCAAGGCAUCUGUGAAGGUGCUGCAUGGUUGUCGUCAGCUCGUGCCGUGAGGUGUCGGCUUAAGUGCCAUAACGAGCGCAACCCUUGUUGUCAGUUACUAACAGGUUCCGCUGAGGACUCUGACAAGACUGCCAUCGUAAGAUGUGAGGAAGGUGGGGAUGACGUCAAAUCAGCACGGCCCUUACGUCCGGGGCUACACACGUGUUACAAUGGGGGGUACAGAGGGCCGCUACCACGCGAGUGGAUGCCAAUCCCCAAAACCUCUCUCAGUUCGGACUGGAGUCUGCAACCCGACUCCACGAAGCUGGAUUCGCUAGUAAUCGCGCAUCAGCCACGGCGCGGUGAAUACGUUCCCGGGCCUUGUACACACCGCCCGUCAAGCCAUGGGAGCCGGGGGUACCUGAAGUGCGUAACCGCGAGGAGCGCCCUAGGGUAAAACUGGUGACUGGGGCUA